rnacentral:tRNA from 1 species
GGUGAUGUAGCUCAAGGGUAGAGCACUUGCUUAGCAUGCACGAAGUCCUUGGUUCAAUCUCCAGCAUCACAA